AUUAAAAAUAAUUUUUUAUUAAUUGCUAACCUAGCAAAUAAAAGAAAACUGAUCUUUAAAACUGAAAUGCAUGGCCACGCUGAGCCAGCUUUGGGCACUCUGCACACCAGGUGUCCUCUUCUUCCUGUUCUGGUUAGCUGUGGAGGCCCUGAAGACCCUGAACCCCAAGGCCAAGGUGGCCCAAGCCCAGGCGGAACUGGAGAUUAACAUCAGUGUGGCCCAGGGGCUGCAGGACAUGCUGAGCACCAACUUGGGGCUUAAGGACACCGUGAAGAUGCUUGUUUCUGGUUCUGGAGACAUCAAGCUUACUGAAGAUGGCAAUAUGCUGCUUCAUGAAAUGCAAAUUCAACACCCAACAGCCUCCUUAAUAGCCAAAGUGGCAACAACCUAGGAUGACAUAACUGGUGAUGGUACCACUUCCAAUGUCUUAAUCAUUGGAGAGCUACUGAAACAGGUGGAUCUCUACAUUUCUGAAAGUCUUCAUCCCAGAAUAAUAACAGAAGGACUUGAAGCUGCAAAGGAAAAGGCACUUCAGUUUUUGGAACAAGUGAAAGUAAGCAAAGAAAUGGACUGGGAAACACUUACAAAUGUGGCCAGAACAUCUCUACCUCCUAAAGUACAUGCUGAACUUCCUGAUACCUUAAUAGAAGCUGUAGUGAACUUCAUUUUCGUCAUUAAAAAACAAGGUGAACCUGUUGACCUUUUAAUGUUUGAGAUCAUGGAAAUGAAACAGAAAUCUGAAACUGAUACAAGCUUAAUCAGAGGUCUUGUUUAGACCAUGGGACACACAUCCUGAUGGGGGGAAAAAAAAGAAGAAGAAGAUGCAUACAUCCUCACAUGCACUGUGUCAUUAGAAUAUGAAAAAACAGAAGUGAAUUCUUUUUUUAAAGAGUUCAGAAGAAGAGGAACUUGUAAAAGCUGAAAGAAAAUUCCUUGAAGAUAGAGUUAAAAAAUAAUAGAACUGAAAAAGAAAGUCUGUGUGAUUCAGAUAAAAGAUUCAUUCAAAAGGGAAUUGACCCCUUUUCUUCAGAUGCUCUUGCAUAGAGUUAAAAGGAGAAAUAUGGAAAGGCUGACUCUUGUUUGUGGCGGAGUAGCUCUAAGUUCUUUUGAUGACCUAAAUCCUGAUUGUUUUGGACAUGCAGGACUUGUCUGUGAGUAUACGUUGGGAGAAGAGAAAUUCACCUUUAUUGAAAAAUAUAACAAUCCUCACUCCAUCAUGUUAUUGGUCAAAGGACCAAAUAAGCACACACUCACUCAAAUCAAAGAUGCAAUAAGGGAUGGUUUGAGGGCUGUUAAAAAUGCUAUUGAUGAUGGCUUUGUAGUUCUAGGUGCUGGGGCAGUGGAGGUGGCAAUAACAAAAGCCUUGAUUAAAUAUAAGCCCAUUGUAAAGGGCAGGGCCCAGCUUGGAGUCCAAGCAUUUGCUGAUGCAUUGCUCAUUAUUCCCAAGGUUCUUGCUCAGAACUCUGGUUUUGACCUUCAGGAAACACAAGUUCAAGCAGAACAUUCAGAAUCAGGUCAGUUUGUGGGUGUGGACUUGAAUACAGGUGAGCCAGUGGUAGCAGCCGAUGUAGACAUAUGGGAUAACUAUUGUGUAAAGAAUAGCUUUACACAGUCCUGCAUUGUGAUUGCCACCAACAUUCUCCUGGUUGGUGAGAUCAUGAGAGCCAGAAUGUCUUCUUGA